rnacentral:tRNA from 1 species
AAUAAGAUGCCUGAAUAAAGGGCUAUCUUGAUAGGAUAGAUUAUGUAUCAAAAAUACUCUUAUUA